CGUAACACAACUUCCCUUUAUCUGGUGAAUAGCCCCGAGAAAUCGGGAUUAAUACACCAUAGCAUCUUGGAGGGUCAUCCCUUUUAGAUUAAAGCUCAGGCGGAUAGAGAUGGGUGUGCGUCUGAUUAGCUAGUUGGUUGAGGUAACGGCUCACCAAGGCGACGAUCAGUAACUGGUGUGAGAGCACGACCAGUCACACGGGCACUGAGAUACGGGCCCG
rnacentral:rRNA from 1 species